CCGCCACUCCUCUUACGAAACUUUGUGUUUCUUUGUUUUUAAAAAUAUAGCUAUCUUCCAUGGAAAAGACAUCACUUAGGUGGACCGGUGAUGGGUUUGGGUUUUUAAACAAACUAAAAAAUAUUUAAGCCUCCUCAGUUUUCAUUUCUCACGUACCAGUGAGUGUCACCCAGAGAAACAAAAGAUCUCUUGAGCCUGCGAUCAUUUUUAAGAGCACCAGGGGGUCCGGGGAUGAAGAGGCUUGGGAAGCCGUGACCUAGACUCCGUCAGACAUACUCUCGCUCCUUGCCAGCUGCCCAUGACUUCUUUAUCAGAGGGUCAACAAGGGAGGGUUCGACCUGGGCAGAAGACUGUUUUAGGGGAACUCAGCCGCCGAGGUCACACCUACUGGGCCGCAGCUGAAGACGGGACAUCCGCCUGCUGCCAGCAGGGGAAGGAGCCACGGCUGAGGAGCCCCAGCCCAGGUGGCGGCCCAGCUGCGGGAACGAAGACAGGCAUCUCCUCCCGCCGUCCCAGACUCGGGAAGGGUAGAAGGACAGAAGCCGGGCCUUGACGGCUGCUCUGCAGAAGAACCAGGGAGUGGAUAAGGGAGCCGGGAGAGCCCAUAGAGUGGGGUCAGAGAGUGCGGACAGCACAGCAGCAAGCACGCUUUUUAGGACCUAAGCGCUGUCCCAAGCCCUCCACAAAGUCUGACUCUCAACCCUGCACUGUCACCGUCCUGGGUAAGGAUGAGGGUCUCAGGGCAAAGUGCUGGAAGCAGGACUGAAACCCAGCAAGUCUGACUCCACGGCUGCCCUCUUCAUAGCUCUACCCGCGGCCUCCCAGGCAGGGCCUGAGCAGGAAGGAGCCCUGGGCCAGCGCCUCAGAGGGACGGGCCACCUGGAGCAGUGUCCCCGGCCCCUGACGGCUGCCACAUCAUCCCUGCGCCGAUCGCUGAGCGACGCGUCCCAGCUCCCCUGGAAGCCUUCACGUUGGGCUGGGGGGUCUGCUUUCGGUGCCAGUAGGUGGCCGCCUGCUCUUUCCCCAUCUCCAUUUCAGAUUUCUUUUCUUGAAUGGGAUGCGCUUCCCGAAGUCGAACCUAAGUUCUUCCAGCGGCAGCACCCCGCCUCUCCCGGGCCUUCUGCCCCUGGCAGGAGGGAGAGCAGAAGGGCCCAAUACUUUGACCUUAGGUCUUGAGAAGCCAGAAAUGCUCCUGCUCUCAGCCCCAGCUUCUCUGGGCCACCCCAGCAGGUUCCUACUUCCCACAUUCCAGAGCCAGCCCCUCCCUUCUGCCCACCGCCUCAAAUCCGGCUCUGCCGACAGACACCCACGGGAGAGUUUUUCCCACAAUCCCCUUCUCUUUGCCCUUUCAAGGUUCUGGUGGGGGAGGGGGUGAAGAGGGGCUGUGCCAGGGCCAUGCACACGACAGCAACAUGUAUGUGAACACAGGAUGAAGGAAGAAAAUCACUGAGCUCAGCCCGUGGGACGGACGGGGGAGGGGCACACCCUCCAAGUCUGGGAGCUGCGCCCACCGACCACCUUCACCAGGCACCCGACACUCGGAGUCCGAAUCUGCCUGCUCGCUAUCCUUCUGCGGUUCUCUCUCGGUGGCCUCUCUGCCCCUUCCAGGGCCUCACCACUGUCCUGGACAGCUUGGCCUCAGCCUGGACGGUGGCACUGACCAGUCAGGCAAGAGAAGAAUCUAGGCCGGGAAGGGGAGGGAGAGCGGAAGAUGUUUCCUCCCGUCCUACAUAACCCUUGGCAGCAAAGUUGGGGGCUCCAUUGCCCGAUGCCUCUUUCUCUCCCCACCAAUGCCAGGGGGCUCAGCCUAUCGUCCACAUUCUGUACAGAAACCAAGCAUCCUGCUAGGAGACCCAAGAGGCCUUUUCUCCUCUGAGGAAGUGGGUAUUUCUGUAUGAUUCACCCCCAGGGCCCUAAAGCCCCCAUCCCAGAGGACGUCGUGUGAGACCACCCAGAUCCAAGUGUCCCAGCCUCUCCGGUCCCUAGGGAGCACAAGAGAAGGAGACCCCUGGGUCUCCGGCCAGGCCCUUCCCUUCCAGCCCAAGCCAAACCAGCUGGAGCUAUAGCUUCUCAUCUGUAAAUGGAGAAGAUCAGACCCAGCUCGUGGGGUCCCUGUGUGGGCUGUCAGAUGAGUCCUCUAGUCCACAGCCACCGCUCGACGAAUGACCG